UUCCCUGUGUCCGAACCACCCCGCUGCCAGGAUCCCCUCAGGAUCACUUUGGGAACAGUUUGGGAUCAGACCCCGUCUCCUCAAACCAGUGGGCACCAGUUUGGUGGUGCUGGAGGAUCCUCGGGAUGAGGGGAAGGAGCAGGUGAUCCAGGCACAGGGGGGGGGCAGAGCCUGACGAGGAUCCAAAGGUCACCAGGAGCCACUUUAUGGAGGGUUCAACGGCACAGCCACACCUGGCACUCCGGGAUGGCUGCGUGCCGGGAAAAACCCGGAUCAUGGGCUCUGCCCACUCUGGAAUGUCUCAGCAACACCAAACCAAACACUCAUAAGGUGGGAGAGGCCCCGUGGAAUGGGGCCAGGCCUCAUCCGGGGCAGUGGGACACCUUGGAGAGCACUCCCAGGGCUGACCCGGAUGUCCUUGUGUGUGGGUGUCACGAGUUUCGGGGACUCAGCUCCCACACAGGCUCCAUCCCCAGUGUCCCAGAGGGUGGCACUUCUCCAGGCUCCCAUUCCAUGAGGCAUCCAGGAUUCUCCAGCUACCCACAGACCUGGUGCUCCCUGGAGUCCUUUCCUACAACCGGGCAUGGGAUACAUGGAGAGGUCCAACAAGCCCUGUACCCAUGGAAUAGCAGCCAGCAGGGCAGGAUGGGUGCCAGGGAGGCAGCGAAAUCAGAGCAUCAAAUCCAGCAAUGAAGGUGAUGUCAAGGAUUUGCCUUUCCCGGGAUUUAUUCCAUCAUUCCUGCUCUCAGGCUCCGGGAAACUUGCACCUUCUGCAGAUGUGCUGCCUGAUUAAAAUGAUGCAACAUA